rnacentral:tRNA from 1 species
GCGGCCAUGAUGUUAAUGGUAGCAUGAGAUCCUUCCAAGUUCUUUGUGUCGGUUCAAGUCCGACUGGCCGCACCA